rnacentral:rRNA from 1 species
AGUGAACGCUGGCGGUAGGCCUAACACAUGCAAGUCGAACGGCAGCACAGUAAGAGCUUGCUCUUACGGGUGGCGAGUGGCGGACGGGUGAGGAAUACAUCGGAAUCUACUUUUUCGUGGGGGAUAACGUAGGGAAACUUACGAUAAUACCGCAUACGACCUACGGGUGAAAGCAGGGGAUCUUCGGACCUUGUGCGAUUGAAUGAGCCGAUGUCGGAUUAGCUAGUGGGCGGGGUAAAGGCCCACCAAGGCGACGAUCCGUAGCUGGUCUGAGUGGAUGAUGGGCCACCCUGGAACUGAGACACGGUCCAGACUCCUACGGGACGCAGCAGUGGGGAAUAUUGGACAAUGGGCGCAAGCCUGAUCCAGCCAUACCGCGUGGGUGAAGAAGGCCUUCGGGUUGUAAAGCCCUUUUGUUGGGAAAGAAAAGCAGCAGGUUAAUACCCCGCUGUUCUGACGGUACCCAAAGAAUAAGCACCGGCUAACUUCGUG